AACAUUAUUACUAUUAAAACUAAAUAUGUGAUUAGUUAAUUUGUAGUAUAUUAUUACUAUUAUUGUUAGUAAUUCUAUUAUUAUAAUUAAUUUUGUUAACGUUGCUGUUUGGGUGUGAAACGACGUCGUAGCUGGGUGUCCUAUCCUAUCUGGUUAAGAAAUGAGAAAACUUGAACAUAUGAAGUGAUGGUAAACUACAUCUUGUGAGAGAGAUUGAGAUCAACCAUG
rnacentral:lncRNA from 1 species